rnacentral:misc_RNA from 1 species
GAAGUGCGAUAAGUAAUGUGACUUGCAGAAUACCGUGAAUCAUCGAAUCUUUGAACACAUAUUGCACUCUCUGGUAUUCCGGAGAGUAUGCCUGUUUGAGGGUCAGCUAAAAAAAAUCGAGCGUUAUUGCUUUUUGUGAUGACGUUUGGAAUUGAGUCGUCUUAACCUCACGGUCAAGUGACUUAAAAUUUUUAAUGAUUUUCGAAACGUAUUUAAUAUUUACGUACGUUUGCGAUAUCAAUCUAUUAGAUGUGAUCAUUUUCCAUGAUUCGCGUCUAUAGUCUUUCAUUAAAUGACCUCAAAUCAGGUAAGAGUACCCGCUGAACUUAAGC